rnacentral:rRNA from 1 species
AUUGAACGCUGGCGGAAUGCUUUACACAUGCAAGUCGAACGGUAGAGGGGGCAACCCCUCGAGAGUGGCGAACGGGUGAGUAAUAUAUCGGAACGUGCCCAGUCGUGGGGGAUAACGUAGCGAAAGUUACGCUAAUACCGCAUACGAUCUAAGGAUGAAAGCGGGGGAUCGCAAGACCUCGCGCGAUUGGAGCGGCCGAUAUCAGAUUAGGUAGUUGGUGGGGUAAAGGCUCACCAAGCCAACGAUCUGUAGCUGGUCGAAGAGGACGACCAGCCAGCCUGGAACUGAGACACGGUCCAGACUCCUACGGGAGGCAGCAGUGGGGAAUUUUGGACAAUGGACGCAAGUCUGAUCCAGCCAUUCCGCGUGCAGGAUGAAGGCCCUCGGGUUGUAAACUGCUUUUGUACGGAACGAAAAGGUCUCUCUUAAUACGGGGGACUCAUGACGGUACCGUAAGAAUAAGCACCGGCUAACUACGUGCCAGCAGCCGCGGUAA